GGGGCUCAAAACAGUCAAAUUCAAAUUAAAAGGUCGAGACACGAAUCAGGGAAUAUUCCGGGAAAGAAAGAGGGAACCUGCGGAGCCUCGGUCAGUUUGGAGGAGUCACGUAUCACACGGGAAACCAGCACACAAGACGCAACAAAACCCGACCCAGAGAAGCGUCCUUUACAGAGCGCACGGGCUGGGAGCAUGUUUGAAAGAAGACAGACCAGUCUAUUUUUGUGGUUGUUUUUAAAUAAAAGGAAGAAAUAAGGGGAACCGUAUGUUUCAAACAGUUAUUUCCGUUUCUCCAUCGCCUUCUUCCAAAGCGAACUAAACUCUCCACCCCUUCCUCAGGAAACGGAAUCUGGAGAACAACUUGUCUUUCCUGUCGCCCCACAUUUUUCCUUGGACAGAGCCUAGGGUUCAGACUUUCCGAAGGGCUGGAGUUUGGCGGGGAAAGGACUGGAGCCCAGCGCCCUGGAGUGGAGGAGUGAGGAGGCUAGACCGUUUCUAAGGAGGCCCAAGCCCGCUGCGGCUAGAAGACCGCA
ensembl:lncRNA HOXC-AS3 HOXC cluster antisense RNA 3